UGGCGAACGGGUGAGUAACACGUGGGUAAUCUGCCCUGCACUCUGGGAUAAGCCUUGGAAACGGGGUCUAAUACCGGAUAUCACCUCCUUGGGCAUCCAGGGGGGUUGAAAGUUCUGGCGGUGCAGGAUGAACCCGCGGCCUAUCAGCUUGUUGGUGGGGUAGUGGCCUACCAAGGCGACGACGGGUAGCCGGCCUGAGAGGGUGACCGGCCACACUGGGACUGAGACACGGCCCAG
rnacentral:rRNA from 1 species